AACGAACGUUGGCGGCGUGGAUUAGGCAUGCAAGUCGAACGAGCCCGUCGGGAGCAAUCCUGGCGGGAAAGUGGCGAAAGGGGCAGUAAGGCGUGGGUAACCUACCCGGGGCUCGGAAUAGCCUCCUAACGGGAGGGUAAUACCGAAUGCCCUGACUGAGGGGCCUCCCUCGGUCAGGAAAGUUCCGGCACCCCGGGAGGGGCUCACGUGGUAUUAGCUAGUUGGUGAGGUAACGGCUCACCAAGGCCGAGAUGCCUAGCGGGNGUGAGAGCACGACCCGCGCCACUGGCACUGGGACACU
rnacentral:rRNA from 1 species